rnacentral:rRNA from 1 species
CGGCUGAGUAACACGUGGAGAACCUGCCCCCUCCCCCGGGAUAGCCGCCCGAAAGGACGGGUAAUACCGGAUACCCCGGGGUGCCGCAUGGCACCCCGGCUAAAGCCCCGACGGGAGGGGAUGGCUCCGCGGCCCAUCAGGUAGACGGCGGGGUGACGGCCCACCGUGCCGACAACGGGUAGCCGGGUUGAGAGACCGACCGGCCAGAUUGGGACUGAGACACGGCCCAGACUCCUACGGGAGGCAGCAGUGGGGAAUCUUGCGCAAUGGGGGGAACCCUGACGCAGCGACGCCGCGUGCGGGACGGAGGCCUUCGGGUCGUAAACCGCUUUCAGCAGGGAAGAGUCAAGACUGUACCUGCAGAAGAAGCCCCGGCUAACUACGUGCCAGCAGCCGCGGUAAUACGUAGGGGGCGAGCGUUAUCCGGAUUCAUUGGGCGUAAAGCGCGCGUAGGCGGCCCGGCAGGCCGGGGGUCGAAGCGGGGGGCUCAACCCCCCGAAGCCCCCGGAACCUCCGCGGCUUGGGUCCGGUAGGGGAGGGUGGAACACCCGGUGUAGCGGUGGAAUGCGCAGAUAUCGGGUGGAACACCGGUGGCGAAGGCGGCCCUCUGGGCCGAGACCGACGCUGAGGCGCGAAAGCUG